CACGUAGGGCGCAAGCGUUGUCCGGAAUUAUUGGGCGUAAAGAGCUCGUAGGUGGUUUGUUACGUCUGCUGUGAAAACCUAGGGCUUAACCCUGGGCUUGCAGUGGAUACGGGCAGACUAGAGGUAGGUAGGGGAGAAUGGAAUUCCUGGUGUAGCGGUGAAAUGCGCAGAUAUCGGGAGGAACACCGGUGGCGAAGGCGGUUCUCUGGGCCUGACCUGACGCUGAGGAGCGAAAGCGUGGGGAGCGAACAGG
rnacentral:rRNA from 1 species